rnacentral:tRNA from 1 species
UCCCUGGUGGCUCAGAUGGUAAAGCGUCUGCCUGCAAUGCAGGAGACCCGGGUUCGAUUCCUGGGUCGGGAA